rnacentral:rRNA from 1 species
ACGGGGUGCAGCAGGCGCGAAACCUUUACACUGCACGACAGUGCGAUAGGGGGACUCCGAGUGCGAGGGCAUAUAGUCCUCGCUUUUCUGUACCCUAAGGUGGUACAAGAAUAAGGGCUGGGCAAGACCGGUGCCAGCCGCCGCGGUAAUACCGGCAGCCCGAGUGAUGGCCGCUAUUAUUGGGCCUAAAGCGUCCGUAGCCGGCCAGACAAGUCCGUUGGGAAAUCGGCGCGCUCAACGCGUCGGCGUCCGGCGGAAACUGUCUGGCUUGGGGCCGGAAGACCUGAGGGGUACGUCCGGGGUAGGAGUGAAAUCCCGUAAUCUCGGACGGACCGCCGGUGGCGAAAGCGCCUCAGGAAGACGGACCCGACGGUCAGGGACGAAAGCUAGGGUCUCGAACCGGAUUAGAUACCCGGGUAGUCCUAGCUGUAAACGAUGCUCGCUAGGUGUGCCGCAGGCUACGAGCCUGCGCUGUGCCGUAGGGAAGCCGCGAAGCGAGCCGCCUGGGAAGUACGUCUGCAAGGAUGAAACUUAAAGGAAUUGGCGGGGGAGCAC